GACGAACGCUGGCGGCGUGCUUAACACAUGCAAGUCGAGCGGUAAGGCCCUUUCGGGGGUACACGAGCGGCGAACGGGUGAGUAACACGUGGGCGACCUACCCUCAGCUUCGGGAUAAGCCUGGGAAACUGGGUCUAAUACCGGAUAUGACCACAUGUCGCAUGGUGUGUGGUGGAAAGUUUUUCGGCUGGGGAUGGGCCCGCGGCCUAUCAGCUUGUUGGUGGGGUGAUGGCCUACCAAGGCGACGACGGGUAGCCGGCCUGAGAGGGCGACCGGCCACACUGGGACUGAGAUACGGCCCAGACUCCUACGGGAGGCAGCAGUGGGGAAUAUUGCGCAAUGGGCGAAAGCCUGACGCAGCGACGCCGCGUGGGGGAUGACGGCCU
rnacentral:rRNA from 1 species